CCUACGGGAGGCAGCAGUGAGGAAUAUUGGUCAAUGGUCGGGAGACUGAACCAGCCAAGCCGCGUGAGGGAUGAAGGUACAGAGUAUCGUAAACCUCUUUUGUCAGGGAACAAAGGCGGGGACGUGUCCCCGGAUGAGUGUACCUGAAGAAAAAGCAUCGGCUAACUCCGUGCCAGCAGCCGCGGUAAUACGGAGGAUGCGAGCGUUAUCCGGAUUUAUUGGGUUUAAAGGGUGCGCAGGCGGUCUGUUAAGUCAGCGGUCAAAGCCCGGGGCUCAACCCCGGCCCGCCGUUGAAACUGGCAGUCGCGAGUUGGAGAGAAGUAUGCGGAAUGCGCGGUGUAGCGGUGAAAUGCAUAGAGAGCGCGCAGAACUGCGAUUGCGAAGGGAGCAUGCCGGCUCCACACUGAGGCGGAGGCACGAAAGCGUGGGUAUCGAACAGGAUUAGAUACCCGUGUAGUC
rnacentral:rRNA from 1 species